UACGUAGGGGGCAAGCGUUGUCCGGAAUCAUUGGGCGUAAAGCGCGUGUAGGCGGCCCGGUAAGUCCGCUGUGAAAGUCGGGGGCUCAACCCUCGAAUGCCGGUGGAUACUGUCGGGCUCGAGUGCGGAAGAGGCGAGUGGAAUUCCUGGUGUAGCGGUGAAAUGCGCAGAUAUCAGGAGGAACACCGGUGGCGAAGGCGGCUUUCUGGACAGAUACCGACGCUGAGGCACGAAAAGCUAGGGGGAGCAAAACAGG
rnacentral:rRNA from 1 species